rnacentral:rRNA from 1 species
AGAGUUUGAUCCUGGCUCAGAUUGAACGCUGGCGGCAGGCCUAACACAUGCAAGUCGAGCGGUAGAGAGAAGCUUGCUUCUCUUGAGAGCGGCGGACGGGUGAGUAAUGCCUAGGAAUCUGCCUGGUAGUGGGGGAUAACGUUCGGAAACGGACGCUAAUACCGCAUACGUCCUACGGGAGAAAGCAGGGGACCUUCGGGCCUUGCGCUAUCAGAUGAGCCUAGGUCGGAUUAGCUAGUUGGUGAGGUAAUGGCUCACCAAGGCGACGAUCCGUAACUGGUCUGAGAGGAUGAUCAGUCACACUGGAACUGAGACACGGUCCAGACUCCUACGGGAGGCAGCAGUGGGGAAUAUUGGACAAUGGGCGAAAGCCUGAUCCAGCCAUGCCGCGUGUGUGAAGAAGGUCUUCGGAUUGUAAAGCACUUUAAGUUGGGAGGAAGGGCAGUUACCUAAUACGUGAUUGUUUUGACGUUACCGACAGAAUAAGCACCGGCUAACUCUGUGCCAGCAGCCGCGGU